rnacentral:lncRNA from 1 species
CAACAAAUAAAAAACAUUAUGAUUUUAAUAAUCUCAACAAUAAACACAUUAAAAAAUAAUAAAAAUUAAAAUUCUUGCGAUUACCCCCAACAACUAUUUGUAGAGUCCCAAAGCCAUAAAGUGAUCCAUAUAACAUUACUAUGAUUUUUAACAAGAAAAAAUAAAUAAGAAUGGGCUAAAAGAAAAGAAAAGGACUUGCUGGUCAAACUGCAAUGACAAUUGAUCUUCAAAAGAAUCUUUCAUCCAUCCAGGGAACUAUCCAAAAGAAGUUGAUAUACUCCUUCAAUGGAAUCACUAGACUCAUGUUCCCCACCUCAUGUUGAAUGUUGAAUGCUCGUGAUCAUUGUUACUUUUAUCGUAAAUUCUUUUAUUCCUUGUUGAAAAUUGUCAAAGGACAAUUUCUUGUUUGUCCUGUCCAUCUUUCCUA